AUCCAACUGGCGAGUCCCAAAUAGGACGAAACGCACGUCCUGGAU
rnacentral:hammerhead_ribozyme from 1 species